rnacentral:misc_RNA from 1 species
ACCUAGCUAAUUACAGGGAUUCUAACUAUAUAUAUAUAAAACUAAGUUUUACUAUGUCCACAUAUUCUUUAUUCAAUACAUAACACAUUUGGAACCAUUUCAAUUCAAUUGCAUUUAGUAUGGCAUCUGGCAGACUAAAUAUUAUCUGUAAAUGCAACUCAAGUCAAUGACUGACAGACUUGGAAUGAAGAUGAUGGCAGGAAAUAAAUAAGCAAAACAAGAAGAAAUGUUGUUGAAAGGCAAAACAUGGACCAAAUUAUACCUUUAAGCUGUUGAACUAGCCCUUUCAGUACGCUCUCCUCAUUUCUUAACUUUGAUAGUUCCGCCUCAUCUUUGGC